rnacentral:piRNA from 1 species
UCAUAAGAUCUUUCCCCUGCU